GGUUAAGCGAACAAGCGUACACGGUGGAUGCCCUGGCAGUCAGAGGCGAUGAAGGACGUGCUAAUCUGCGAAAAGCGCCGGUAAGGUGAUAUGAACCGUUAUAACCGGCGAUGUCCGAAUGGGGAAACCCGGUGCACUUCGGUGCAUCAUCGUUAGCUGAAUACAUAGGCUAACGAGGCGAACCGGGGGAACUGAAACAUCUAAGUACCCCGAGGAAAAGAAAUCAACCGAGAUUCCCCCAGUAGCGGCGAGCGAACGGGGAACAGCCCAGAGCCUGAAUCAGCUUGUGUGUCAGUGGAACGGUCUGGAAAGGCCGGCGAUACAGGGUGACAGCCCCGUACACGAAGGCACACAGGCUGUGAGCUCGAUGAGUAGGGCGGGACACGUGAUAUCCUGUCUGAAGAUGGGGGGACCAUCCUCCAAGGCUAAAUACUCCUGACUGACCGAUAGUGAACCAGUACCGUGAGGGAAAGGCGAAAAGAACCCCGGCGAGGGGAGUGAAACAGAACCUGAAACCGUGUACGUACAAGCAGUGGGAGCCUUCGUAAGAGGGUGACUGCGUACCUUUUGUAUAAUGGGUCAGCGACUUAUAUUCUGUAGCAAGGUUAACCGUAUAGGGGAGCCGAAGGGAAACCGAGUCUUAAUUGGGCGUUAAGUUGCAGGGUAUAGACCCGAAACCCGGUGAUCUAGCCAUGGGCAGGUUGAAGGUUGGGUAACACUAACUGGAGGACCGAACCGACUAAUGUUGAAAAAUUAGCGGAUGACCUGUGGCUGGGGGUGAAAGGCCAAUCAAACCGGGAGAUAGCUGGUUCUCCCCGAAAGCUAUUUAGGUAGCGCCUCGUGAACUCAUCUCCGGGGGUAGAGCACUGUUUCGGCUAGGGGGCCAUCCCGGCUUACCAACCCGAUGCAAACUGCGAAUACCGGAGAAUGUUAUCACGGGAGACACACGGCGGGUGCUAACGUCCGUCGUGAAGAGGGAAACAACCCAGACCGCCAGCUAAGGUCCCAAAGUCAUGGUUAAGUGGGAAACGAUGUGGGAAGGCCCAGACAGCCAGGAUGUUGGCUUAGAAGCAGCCAUCAUUUAAAGAAAGCGUAAUAGCUCACUGGUCGAGUCGGCCUGCGCGGAAGAUGUAACGGGGCUAAACCAUGCACCGAAGCUGCGGCAGCGACACUAUGUGUUGUUGGGUAGGGGAGCGUUCUGUAAGCCUGCGAAGGUGUGCUGUGAGGCAUGCUGGAGGUAUCAGAAGUGCGAAUGCUGACAUAAGUAACGAUAAAGCGGGUGAAAAGCCCGCUCGCCGGAAGACCAAGGGUUCCUGUCCAACGUUAAUCGGGGCAGGGUGAGUCGACCCCUAAGGCGAGGCCGAAAGGCGUAGUCGAUGGGAAACAGGUUAAUAUUCCUGUACUUGGUGUUACUGCGAAGGGGGGACGGAGAAGGCUAUGUCGGCCGGGCGACGGUUGUCCCGGUUUAAGCGUGUAGGCUGACUUUCCAGGCAAAUCCGGAAAGUUAAGGCUGAGGCGUGAUGACGAGGCACCACGGUGCUGAAGUGACAAAUGCCCUGCUUCCAGGAAAAGCCUCUAAGCAUCAGGUAACAUCAAAUCGUACCCCAAACCGACACAGGUGGUCAGGUAGAGAAUACCAAGGCGCUUGAGAGAACUCGGGUGAAGGAACUAGGCAAAAUGGUGCCGUAACUUCGGGAGAAGGCACGCUGACAUGUAGGUGAAGCCCCUGCGGGUGGAGCUGAAGUCAGUCGAAGAUACCAGCUGGCUGCAACUGUUUAUUAAAAACACAGCACUGUGCAAACACGAAAGUGGACGUAUACGGUGUGACGCCUGCCCGGUGCCGGAAGGUUAAUUGAUGGGGUUAUCGCAAGAGAAGCUCCUGAUCGAAGCCCCGGUAAACGGCGGCCGUAACUAUAACGGUCCUAAGGUAGCGAAAUUCCUUGUCGGGUAAGUUCCGACCUGCACGAAUGGCGUAAUGAUGGCCAGGCUGUCUCCACCCGAGACUCAGUGAAAUUGAACUCGCUGUGAAGAUGCAGUGUACCCGCGGCAAGACGGAAAGACCCCGUGAACCUUUACUACAGCUUGACACUGAACAUUGAGCCUUGAUGUGUAGGAUAGGUGGGAGGCUUUGAAGCGUGGACGCCAGUCUGCGUGGAGCCGACCUUGAAAUACCACCCUUUAAUGUUUGAUGUUCUAACCUGGCGCCAUAAUCUGGCGUGGGGACAGUGUCUGGUGGGUAGUUUGACUGGGGCGGUCUCCUCCCAAAGUGUAACGGAGGAGCACGAAGGUCAGCUAAUCCUGGUCGGACAUCAGGAGGUUAGUGCAAUGGCAUAAGCUGGCUUGACUGCGAGAGUGACGGCUCGAGCAGGUGCGAAAGCAGGUCAUAGUGAUCCGGUGGUUCUGUAUGGAAGGGCCAUCGCUCAACGGAUAAAAGGUACUCCGGGGAUAACAGGCUGAUACCGCCCAAGAGUUCAUAUCGACGGCGGUGUUUGGCACCUCGAUGUCGGCUCAUCACAUCCUGGGGCUGAAGUAGGUCCCAAGGGUAUGGCUGUUCGCCAUUUAAAGUGGUACGCGAGCUGGGUUUAGAACGUCGUGAGACAGUUCGGUCCCUAUCUGCCGUGGGCGCUGGAGAAUUGAGGGGGGCUGCUCCCAGUACGAGAGGACCGGAGUGGACGCAUCACUGGUGUUCGGGUUGUCAUGCCAAUGGCACUGCCCGGUAGCUAAAUGCGGAAGAGAUAAGUGCUGAAAGCAUCUAAGCACGAAACUUGCCCCGAGAUGAGUUCUCCCUGAGACUAUAAGUCUCCUGAAGGAACGUUGAAGACGACGACGUUGAUAGGCCGGGUGUGUAAGCGCAGCGAUGCGUUGAGCUAACCGGUACUAAUGAACCGUGAGGCUUAACCUU
rnacentral:rRNA from 1 species